GACGAACGCUGGCGGCGUGCCUAAUACAUGCAAGUCGAACGGUUUAGUUCCAAGAGGCUUGCCUUUUGGAACUAGACAGUGGCGGACGGGUGAGUAACACGUAGGCAACCUACCUGUCAAACCGGGAUAACCUCGGGAAACCGAAGCUAAACCCGGAUAAGCUCCUUUUUCGCAUGAAGGGGGAGUGAAAAGGUGCGACCUGAUGACAGAUGGGCCUGCGGCGCAUUAGCUAGUAGGAAGGGUAACGGCCUACCUAGGCGAUGAUGCGUAGCCGACCUGAGAGGGCGUACGGCCACACUGGGACUGAGAUACGGCCCAGACUCCUACGGGAGGCAGCAGUAGGGAAUCUUCGGCAAUGGGCGAAAGCCUGACCGAGCAACGCCGCGUGAGUGAGGAAGGCCUUCGGGUUGUAAAACUCUGUUGUUUGGGAAGAAGGGAAAGGGUAGGACCCUUUGGUGACGGUACCAAACGAGAAAGCCCCGGCUAACUACGUG
rnacentral:rRNA from 1 species